UACAGAGGGUGCGAGCGUUAAUCGGAGUUACUGGGCGUAAAGGGCGCGUAGGCGGUGAUGCAAGUGAGGUGUGAAAUCCCUGGGCUUAACCUAGGAAUUGCACUUCAAACUGCGUUGCUAGAGUGCAGUAGAGGGUGGUGGAAUUUCCGGUGUAGCGGUGAAAUGCGUAGAGAUCGGAAGGAACAUCAGUGGCGAAGGCGGCCACCUGGACUGUAACUGACGCUGAGGCGCGAGAGCGUGGGGAGCAAACAGG
rnacentral:rRNA from 1 species